rnacentral:rRNA from 1 species
AAUUUUGGACAAUGGGCGCAAGCCUGAUCCAGCCAUUCCGCGUGCAGGAUGAAGGCCCUCGGGUUGUAAACUGCUUUUGUACGGAACGAAAAGGUGCCGGUUAAUACCUGGCGCUCAUGACGGGAACGUAAGAAUAAGCACCGGCUAACUACGUGCCAGCAGCCGCGGUAAGACGUAGGGGGCAAGCGUUAUCCGGAUUCACUGGGCGUAAAGGGCGCGUAGGCGGCUACGGAAGUCCGGCGUGAAAUCCCAGGGCUCAACCCUGGAACUGCGUCGGAUACUCCGUUGGCUAGAGGAUGGUAGAGGCUCGGGGAACUAGCGGUGUAGCGGUGAAAUGCGCAGAUAUCGCUAGGAACGCCGGUGGCGAAGGCGCCGGGCUGGGCCAUUCCUGACGCUGAGGCGCGAAAGCUAGGGGAGCGAAC